UACAGAGGUGGCAAGCGUUGUUCGGAUUUACUGGGCGUAAAGGGCGCGUAGGCGGCCACCGCAAGUCGACUGUGAAAUCUCCGGGCUUAACCCGGAAAGGUCAGCCGAUACUGCGGGGCUAGAGUGCAGAAGGGGCAACUGGAAUUCUCGGUGUAGCGGUGAAAUGCGUAGAUAUCAGGAAGAACACCUAUGGCGAAGGCAGCUCUCUGGGACGGUACUGACGCUGAGACGCGAAAGCGUGGGGAGCGAACAGG
rnacentral:rRNA from 1 species